rnacentral:misc_RNA from 1 species
GUGGCCGAUUUCGCCUCCUGCAGGCUCGGAGCAGGCCCGAACACAACUCUUGGAAUGGGGUCGUUAGAUUCGAGCAACUGCUCCUCAUCUCCACCAGCAAACUCCCAAUCGUCAAUCUGCAACGCUGGACGCUGAACUCCGGCGAUUUCCACGCCACCGGUAGCCCCAGUCUGACAGGACGAGAGGAUCGCCGACACGGGACGUGAGGCGUUGCGCACCGACUGUUCAGCCGGAGACGAGACAGCAGAAAACCCUCCCCGGAAGCCGCUAUUGACGACGCCGAUACCGGCGAUCUUACAGGCAGCUUUCAUGGCAGCUCCUCCACCCAUAGCGAUGAUUACGGUGAUCAAGGGAGAAAAGGAAAGGCCGAAUCAAAAUUAUCUUGGGGAAGCGCCUUAAUUACUCUCCGUUUGGACUUUGGAGAAUAAGCAUACGUGUGACUUGGCAAUAUUCUGUAGGAAGAGUUCUGAGAUUUAAGUAUUAAUUAAUUUAACGGUGAUUAUAUGUUACUUUGCUAAGCGACCCAACUCUUCCUGUGAUCGCUUAAUCUAGAAGAAAACUGCAUAAUUUAUUCGGUGUGGAAGAGACGCUGC